rnacentral:rRNA from 1 species
AGAGAUGGGCGCUCCCUUCGGGGCUGGGUGACAGGUGGUGCAUGGCUGUCGUCAGCUCGUGCCGUGAGAUGUUGGGUUAAGUCCCGCAACGAGCGCAACCCUUGCCUCGUGUUACUAACAGGUCAAGCUGAGGACUCUCGGGGGACUGCCGGCGUCAAGCCGGAGGAAGGUGGGGACGACGUCAAGUCUUCAUGGCCCUUACGCCCAGGGCUACACACGUGCUACAAUGGCCAGGACAGAGGGCUGCGAGACCGCAAGGUGGAGCGAAUCCCAGCAACCUGGCCUAAGUUCGGAUUGCGGGCUGCAACUCGCCCGCAUGAAGCCGGAAUCGCUAGUAAUCGCGGAUCAGCUACGCCGCGGUGAAUACGUUCCCGGGCCUUGUACACACCGA